GUUUUCCAUUAUCACAGAGAACACCUCAGAACUCCUCUCCCCAGUCUCAGGUUUCCCCAGGAAUGUUUUAAUCAACCCUACCAGUCCUAUGAAACAUAUGUGAUUUACAGUUCAAAUAACUUUGGGAAGUAUUGCCGGCCACGUCUCACCCAUGAAGCCUCACAGCACAUAUGAUGAUUUUAAAGGCCCUGACAAGUGUGGUAGUACCGAAACCUGUGACAUGUUUCCUAAAUAUAUUUGAUCCCAUUAACUCUUAUUUGCUCUCAGAAUCUCUCUGGAUUAUUUAUUAUUCCUAGGAACAUACUGGAAAGAACACUAAACCAAGUCAUCAUGAACAAAUAUGAGAUUCUUGAUUUUUCCCCUUUUCCCUGAGAGCUGCAGAGAUUGCAUCAGAUGAAUGUUUGUUAGCACCUGGCCUGGAAGAAGCUCAGUGGCUGUUUCAGGAGUGAAUGAAUGGACAAGUGAACUGACAUCCAGUGGAAACACAAAAGAGCAGGAUCACAGGGCCCUGGACAAAGUUAGUGAACAUUAUCCUGGGGUAACCCAAUCUCCUAGGUCUGAUAGCAACAACAAGGGAAACAAUCCAAAGGAUUACCUUGAACUCUGGCCAGCACCAUGGGAGACUUGGACCUAGUGAAGGCCAGUGACCCAGAAGGGCCCCUUAAGCUCGGUAAUGGGCCUCCACUUGCUGGGAGGUAAAGGGUAAUUGAGAAAAAGAAAAUCAAAUGCUUUGGGAGACUUAGGAAAAAAGAUGGAGGCUCUGUUUUUCCCAACCUCGUAGCUUGGGGAGAGGCUGAGUGAGAUUACUGUCACCUUCUAGGGCACUGUCUAAACUGGAGUGUCUGUUAGUCAUUCUUGUUCCUUUUCCUUCCACUUGUGCUCUGGGCCCAUCCCCUCCCCCUGUCCCAUGGUUUUGCUUCUACUCCCUCCUCAUCCUCUCUCUCCACUGUCUCCAUUCCCUCAACAUACAAACACUCCAGGUCUUGGAAUGUUAAAGUCCCUUUUGUCCUUCCAGUUGCUACUCUACUUCUGUCCUUCCCUUCCUGGAUAAGCCACUGAAAAGUGGCUCUGGGCUCUACCCGCUUCCUCUCCUCCCACUGCCCACUGCCCCCUGGUCUCCUCCUCCCGCUCCACAGAAGCAGAGCCCUUCUGUGAUUUAUUUAUUUUUAUUUUUAUUUUUUUGAGAUGUAGUCUUGCUCUGUUGCCCAGGCUGGAGUGCAGUGGCACGAUCUCGGCUCCCUGCAAUCUCCACCUCCCGGGUUUAAGCAUUCUCCUGCCUUAGCCUCCCAAGGAGCUGGGACUAUAGGUAUGCACCAUCAUGCCCAUCUAAUUUUUGUAUUUUUAGUAGAGAUAGAGUUUCACUGUGUUGGCCAUGCUGGUCUCAAACUCCUGACCUUAGGUGAUCUGACCACCUCAGCCCCCCAAAGUGCUGGAAUUACAGGCAUGAACCACCACACCUGGCCCCCUCUGUGAUUUAAAUACCCAAAUAUAUCACAGACACCUGGGUGUUCCAUAGGAAACAAAAAACUUGAUGUUCAUCAAAAGCUGAUUGAACACCUCCUCUGCACCAGGCAUUGAACUAUAAAGUCAAUACAAUGAGGGUCAAGAAGCUUAUGACUUGAUGGUAAACAGCGAUGUAAACUAUUACCAGUCUGGUUGCUAAGGGAUACAAUUGAUAUAUGCCCAGAUGUUAUGGAACCCAGGGAAGAGCAUUGAACUGGGAGAGGAAGAGCAACUGGUCCUUCAGAGAAGGCUUACUGGAAGAAUGGAACUGGAACUGAGAUCUGAAGGAUGUGUAGAAAGUGAGAAGAAGAAAUUGGGAUUUUGGCUAUGGAAUGCUUUCAGUUUCAAAUGACAGAAACCUUACUCAGGCCAGAGGAAGCAAACCAGGGAACUGUAUAACUGGGGCGACUGGGUGAAGCUGGUCUCAGACACACAGGCAUUCAGGUUUGCUGCUCCCCUCAGACUUACCUCUGCUGCUUCUUCCUCUGUAUUGGACUCAUUCUCUCCUAAUCAGGUUAGCUUCCUCCAGGUUUCACAGGCAGGAGCGCCCUAGCCACAGGCAGUUCCAGGCUUAUAUUAACCCAGUUUUUUGGCUACAGAAAAAAAGAGAGAACUCUCCCAGCACCCAUAUGUAAAAUCCCAGGGAAGGGCUCUGAUUGGCCCAGCUUGGGUCAUGUGCCAAUCCCAGGUCAAUCACUGUGACCAGGGGAUGGGUACUGUGUCUGAACGGGCCUGGAUCUGCUACCCAGCACUGGGGGUAGGGGACAGGAUACUGUGGUUGGCAGUUCCAUUAGGACCACAUGGAAUGAGGGGGGAUGCUGAGAACACUAAAGCAACAGAUGUUCGUAACAGAGAGCUUUCUAGACAGAGAGAAUGACACAUGCAAAACCAUUCAACAGCCAGGGAACACGGCUGAGAAUUACUAGUAGUUUUAUGUUGCUGGAACUUAGGAUGAACUUGGGUGAGUGACAAGAAAUAAACCUGGAGAAGAAGAAUGAAUGUGGAGGGUCAUAUGUGCUAUACAAUAGAGUUUGAAUGUUAUCGUGAAAGCUAUAGAGAAUCUUUGAAAAAUGUUGUAUCAGAUAUUUAUAUGAUCAGGUUAUAUUAUUUGGGGAAAAAUCCUUUUGCCCAUAGAUCUAUUCUCUUGCUUUCUUCCUUAUUUCAGUUAAUGAUAUCCUCCAUCCCUGCAAUGUCAUGAACUAGAAACUAGGGGAAUCUUGGGGCCAUUUCCCUCUGCCAAGUCCUUUUUGGGGCACCUCUCAAGGAGCCAUUCCUUUCUAUUCUGACAUUGUCUGUGUCUGUUCAGGCCUCUGCCUGUUCUUGCCAGGACUGCUAUCAUGGGUCCCCCUAACUUGUACUAAGGUAUCUGCUCUUUCAGGGAAUUUCCUGUUCCCCAACCUAGCCUGGGUCAGACCCGGUUCUCUCUGCUUUGGUAGCUAAUAUGGUUGGAUGUUUGUCCCUUCCAAAUCCCAUGUUGAAAUGUAGUCUCCAGUGUUAGAGGUGGGGUCUGGUGGGAGGUGUUAGGGUCAUGGGGGUGGAGUCCUCAUGAAUGUCUUAGUACCCACCUCACAGUAAUGAGUCUCAUUCUAUUAGUUCACAAGAGAGCUGGUUGUUUAAAGAAACUGGCACCUCCUCCCUUCUGUCUCCUGUCCUCUGUCACCAUGUGAUGUGCCUGAUUUCCCUUCGCCUUCUGCCAUGAUUGUAGGCUCCCUGAGGCCUCACCAGAAGUAGAUGCUGGCGCCACACUUCCUGUACAGCCUGCAGAACCAUGAGCCAA
rnacentral:lncRNA from 1 species